rnacentral:rRNA from 1 species
AACGAACGCUGGCGGCAUGCCUAACACAUGCAAGUCGAACGAGACCUUCGGGUCUAGUGGCGCACGGGUGCGUAACGCGUGGGAAUCUGCCCUGGGGUACGGAAUAACAGUGAGAAAUUACUGCUAAUACCGUAUGAUGACGUAAGUCCAAAGAUUUAUCGCCCUGGGAUGAGCCCGCGUAGGAUUAGCUUGUUGGUGAGGUAAAAGCUCACCAAGGCGACGAUCCUUAGCUGGUCUGAGAGGAUGAUCAGCCACACUGGGACUGAGACACGGCCCAGACUCCUACGGGAGGCAGCAGUGGGGAAUAUUGGACAAUGGGCGAAAGCCUGAUCCAGCAAUGCCGCGUGAGUGAUGAAGGCCUUAGGGUUGUAAAGCUCUUUUACCCGGGAAGAUAAUGACUGUACCGGGAGAAUAAGCCCCGGCUAACUCCGUG